AGUGAACGCUGGCGGUAGGCCUAACACAUGCAAGUCGAACGGCAGCACCGUAAGAGCUUGCUCUUACGGGUGGCGAGUGGCGGACGUGUGAGGAAUACAUCGUAAUCUACUCUUUCGUGGGGGAUAACGUAGGGAAACUUACGCUAAUACCGCAUACGACCUACGGGUGAAAGCAGUGGAUCUUCGGACCUUGCGCGAUUGAAUGAGCCGAUGUCGGAUUAGCUAGUUGGCGGGGUAAAGGCCCACCAAGGCGACGAUCCGUAGCUCGUCUGAGAGGAUGGUCGGCCACACGAGAACUGAGACACGGUCCAUGCUACUACGGGAGGCAGCAGUGGGGAAUAUUGGACAAUGGGCGCAAACCUGAUCCAGCCAUACCGCGUGGGUUAAGAAGGCCUUCGGGUUGUAAAGCCCUUUUGUUGGGAAAGAAAAGCAGCCGGUUAAUACCACGCUGUUCUGACGGUACCCAAAGAAUAAGCACCGGCCAACUUCGUG
rnacentral:rRNA from 1 species